rnacentral:rRNA from 1 species
AGCGGCGGACGGGUGAGUAACGCGUGGGUAACCUGCCUCACACAGGGGGGUAACAGUUAGAAAUGACUGCUAAUACCGCAUAAGACCACGGUACCGCAUGGUACAGUGGUAAAAACUCCGGUGGUAUGAGAUGGACCCGCGUCUGAUUAGGUAGUUGGUGGGGUAACGGCCUACCAAGCCGACGAUCAGUAGCCGACCUGAGAGGGUGACCGGCCACAUUGGGACUGAGACACGGCCCAG